rnacentral:rRNA from 1 species
UACGACGGGGGCUAGCGCUGUUCGGAAUUACUGGGCGUAAAGCGCACGUAGGCGGAUUCGUAAGUCAGGGGUGAAAUCCCGGGGCUCAACCUCGGAACUGCCUUUGAUACUGCAAGUCUAGAGUCCGGAAGAGGUGAGUGGAAUUCCUAGUGUAGAGGUGAAAUUCGUAGAUAUUAGGAAGAACACCAGUGGCGAAGGCGGCUCACUGGUCCGGUACUGACGCUGAGGUGCGAAAGCGUGGGGAGCAAACAGG